CCUUGUCUUGCUGUCAUUCUUCGUGUCUCUUGACCCUUCAUUCCUUUUAGCUUAGGUUCACUGCCCUCGUUGACGUCCUGCGGGUCAGGACAACUGGCGCCCAACAUGGGGCACAAGCCUCUGACUAAGGAAGGAACGUCGUCCUCCGGGAAAACUUGGCCAAGUACAGUCCGAGAUCGCCUUGACAGACCCCACCGAGAGACAGAUCCAGGAGGAGAGUGAGGACGAUGCAAGGAAAAUGGAUUUGUAUGGGUGAGGACCUGGCCCACACGGAGCUGUUUUUAUUCUUCACCACCAUUUUACAGCACUUCAAUCUGAAAUCUCUCACUGACCCAAAGGAUCUCGAUACCACUCCAGUUGCCAAAAGAUUGGUUUCUGUGCCCCCCAAGUACCAGCUUUGUUUCAUUCCUGCCUGAAGGAGAGCAGACACUGUAGCGCUUGCUGUGCUAUCAUCUGCAACCUACUACUCUAGAAAUCAUUCUUCCAUCCCCCUAUACUCCCAUCUAGGAUGCCUUCUCUGUCUUUGCUUCAUACCUCUCAAUUUCUGCAAGAUCAUUGGAAGUCCCAACUUCCAUUACAGAGAGGGACUUGAGUCACUGCACAAAUAUAUCUGCUGUUCCUUAUGUUCUAUAUUACAUGUAAUGUAUUGAUAAUGUCAUGUCCUAAUCCUUAUUGGAUGGUCAGUUAUUAGCAUAUUAACACUCUCAAUGAGCAAAAAGAUCAGAAUAUGGAAAUUCACAGCCACAUCUCUCCUGCAUAUCCUGAAUAAAAAGCAUUAUUAACUUCU